ACAUGCUUACAUCAUAGUGUUAAUGCACUAGAUCCCAUUAUAAAUCCACAGUUAACAAUGCUCGGGUUAGACUAGUACUAGGAUGGGUCACCGCUCAAGAAGUCUUAUUGUUUUACAUGCC
rfam:Picea glauca, whole genome shotgun sequence.